UACGUAGGGUGCGAGCGUUGUCCGGAAUUACUGGGCGUAAAGGGCUCGUAGGCGGCGUGUCGCGUCGGGGAGUGAAAGCCCGCUGCUUAACGGCGGGUUGGCUUCCGGUACGGGCAUCGCUGGAGUGCGGCAGGGGAGACUGGAAUUCCUGGUGUAGCGGUGGAAUGCGCAGAUAUCAGGAGGAACACCGGUGGCGAAGGCGGGUCUCUGGGCCGUUACUGACGCUGAGGAGCGAAAGCGUGGGGAGCGAACAGG
rnacentral:rRNA from 1 species